rnacentral:rRNA from 1 species
GACGAACGCUGGCGGCGUGCUUAACACAUGCAAGUCGAGCGGUAAGGCCCUUUCGGGGGUACACGAGCGGCGAACGGGUGAGUAACACGUGGGUGACCUGCCCUCAGCUCUGGGAUAAGCCUGGGAAACCGGGUCUAAUACUGGAUAUGACUCCAUGACGCAUGUUGUGGGGUGGAAAGCCUUGUGCGGCUGAGGAUGGGCCCGCGGCCUAUCAGCUUGUUGGUGGGGUGANGGCCCUACCAAGGCGACGACGGGUAGCCGGCCUGAGAGGGCGACCGGCCACACUGGGACUGAGACACGGCCCAGACUCCUACGGGAGGCAGCAGUGGGGAAUCUUGCGCAAUGGGCGAAAGCCUGACGCAGCGACGCCGCGUGAGGGAUGACGG